rnacentral:lncRNA from 1 species
UGACUAAUACACUUUAUAUCUUAUGUAAAUCUUCAUCCUGUCCAGCACCAUGACGAAGACCCAUUACAAUACAAUAUAAAGGAGAUGCAUAAAGAGAUAAUAGAGCAUUGCAUAGCAUUGCCUUCAGGAAAAAAAUAAUAUACAUAUCUACACGAUGAUGAUGCUGGGCCUCGGAGCAGGCACACGAGAGUGGCUCCAAACCCGAAUCCGCAUGCAGGAACUUAUCACGACGAAGGACCACGACGACCACGAGGAGGAGGAGUGGGAGGACCAAGCAGAGGCACACGACGAAGACGACGACGAGUAGGGUGGGGGAGCAAGUAGUAGUAGUAGGGCUUUCGAGUGUGGGUUUACCAGCGAUCGACCCUAGAAAGCUUCUUCAACCCAACUAGCUAGCUAUGCAAGAUUCUGCCAUCGAUGCAGAGCC